GGUCCAUCUCCAGUGCAGCCGUCACAAGCGAAGUCGCACACUGCAAGUUGCCGAGCAGAACCACAACGUGUAUGAGAGUGAAUGAACAGGGACUCUCUGCUCCUCCAGUGCAAGGAUCGCAGUUGGGGCCAUAGUGGUUUUCCGGGCAGCAAGCUACGCGGGAGAUGAAGAAGCAAGCACAAACCCCCGUGCAGCCAGCGCUGCAGAUGGGAGCACCAGCUGGUGAUGGUUCAAGGAGCCCAGUGGCGUGCGUACACUGUGAUUGGUUGGCCUACUAACAGCCAGGCCGCAACCACGGUCACGAAACCCAGCAAGGUUCGCGAAGAAAGGCUUUAGUUUUAAAUAAAUGAAAGGGUCCCUGAAA